ACAUGCCUACAACAUAGCAUUAAUGCAACAGAUCCCAUUAGAACUUAGCAGUUAAGUGUGCUCAGGCUAGAGUAGUAUUGGUAUGGGUGAUCGCUCAGAAAGUCCUAGUGUUUUACAUGCC
rfam:Picea glauca, whole genome shotgun sequence.